rnacentral:rRNA from 1 species
AACGAACGCUGGCGGCAGGCUUAACACAUGCAAGUCGAACGCCCCGCAAGGGGAGUGGCAGACGGGUGAGUAACGCGUGGGAACAUACCCUUUCCUGCGGAAUAGCUCCGGGAAACUGGAAUUAAUACCGCAUACGCCCUACGGGGGAAAGAUUUAUCGGGGAAGGAUUGGCCCGCGUUGGAUUAGCUAGUUGGUGGGGUAAAGGCCUACCAAGGCGACGAUCCAUAGUUGGUCUGAGAGGAUGAUCAGCCACACUGGGACUGAGACACGGCCCAAACUCCUACGGGAGGCAGCAGUGGGGAAUAUUGGACAAUGGGCGCAAGCCUGAUCCAGCCAUGCCGCGUGAGUGAUGAAGGCCUUAGGGUUGUAAAGCUCUUUCACCGAUGAAGAUAAUGACGGUAGUCGGAGAAGAAGCCCCGGCUAACUUCGUGCCAGCCGCCGCCGUAAUAC